GAUGAAGAACAUAGCGAAAUGCGAUACUUGGUGUGAAUUGCAGAAUCCCGUGAACCAUCGAGUCUUUGAACGCAAGUUGCGCCCGAAGCCAUUAGGCCGAGGGCACGCCUGCCUGGGCGUCACACGUCGUUGCCCCCCCAUCUACUCCUUCGGGAUUGCGGGGGGCGGAUGAUGGCCUCCCGUGCGCCUCGCCGCGCGGUUGGCAUAAAUGCCAAGUCCUCGGCGACGCACGCCACGACAAUCGGUGGUUGCGAAACCUCGGUUGCCCGUCGUGUGCGGUCGUCGCGCAUCGAGGGCUCGAAAAAAUUGCCGGGUUCCGGCUCGGCUUUCAACGCGACCCCAGGUCAGGCGGGGUUACCCGCUGAAUUUAAGCAUAUCAAUAAGCGGAGGA
rnacentral:misc_RNA from 1 species